GCCUCGUGGGCAUGGCGGCUGCUCGGGGGCCCGUGCUGCUCGGGCUUCGGGACGCCGCAGUGCGCGGCCGCCCCACGGGGCCGGGCGCCUGGACUGCGAGCAAGCUGGGCGGCCUCCCGGACGCCUUGCCCGCGGUGGCGGCGCCGAGGCCGGCGUGUGAGCGUUGCAGGCAGCCUCUUGCCCUGGUCGUGCAGGUGUACUGCCCGCUGGAGGGCUCCCCGUUCCACCGGCUCCUGCACGUGUUCGCCUGCCCCCUCCCCGGGUGCGGCGGCGGCGGCGGCGGCGGCGGGGCGCGCAGCUGGAAGGUGUUCCGUUCCCAGUGCCUGCAGAUGCGAGAGACAGGGGCGCACGAUGCUCAGAAACAGGAAAAUGGCCUUGCAGCUGAGGAUUGGUGCGAAGGUGCAGAUGACUGGGGAAGUGACAGUGAGGCCGCACCACCACCACGGCUUACCUUGGAUUUUGGGAAUGAUUCCAUCGGAGCCAAAGACAGAGACUGUACUGCCCAGCUCCAGGAUCUCCACCUGCAGGACACUGUCUUGGGCGCUGCUCCUCGUGUUUCUCCUGGUGAAGAGAUGGCCUUGCCCUCUGUGGUGCCACAGUUCCUGCCCUACUACAUCUGUGUUGUAGAGGAGGAGGAUUACAGGGACUUUGUCAGUCUGGAUCACGCACAUAGCCUUCUGAAGGAAUAUCAACAGAAAGAAGGAAUGGAUAUGGACCAGUUGCUUUCUCAAAGUCUUCCUAGUGAUGGUGAUGAAAAAUAUGAGAAGACUAUAAUUAAAAGUGGAGAUAAGACAUUUUACAAAUUCAUGAAGAGAAUUGCCGCUUGUCAGGAGCAGAUUUUGAGGUAUUCCUGGAGUGGAGAACCACUUUUUCUGACCUGCCCUCCAUCAGAAGUCACUCAGCUCCCAGCCUGCAGCCACUGUGGAGGCCGAAGGACAUUUGAGUUUCAGCUUAUGCCAGCACUGGUCAGCAUGCUCAGAAGCACUAAUUUAGCUACAGUCUAUCAAGUGAUAUAUCGCCUCAAGGAGGGCUUAUAAGGCUUAUUCUUACUUCUGAAUGUCUGCCUCUGAACUGAAGGACAACCCAGUAUGAAAUCUUGAGGUCGCACUUUCUUCCGAAUGAUCGUCUUUCUGUAGAAUUUGGAACAAUUCUAAUUUACACAUGUGAGAAGAGUUGCUGGCCUCAAAAUCAUCAGACUCCCAUGGAAGAACUUUGUAUUAUACAAGAAGACCCAGAUGAAUCAUUAUUUAAGUAGAGCGUUUCC